rnacentral:rRNA from 1 species
UACGGAGGAUGCAAGCGUUAUCCGGAAUGAUUGGGCGUAAAGCGUCCGCAGGUGGCUAUGUAAGUCUGCUGUUAAAGAGUCUAGCUCAACUAGAUAAGAGCAGUGGAAACUACAAGGCUAGAGUACGUUCGGGGCAGAGGGAAUUCCUGGUGUAGCGGUGAAAUGCGUAGAGAUCAGGAAGAACACCAGUGGCGAAGGCGCCCUGCUAGGCCGUAACUGACACUGAGGGACGAAAGCUAGGGGAGCGAAUGGG